GAUGAAGAACGUAGCGAAAUGCGAUAAGUAAUGUGAAUUGCAGAAUUCAGUGAAUCAUCGAAUCUUUGAACGCACAUUGCGCCCGCCAGUAUUCUGGCGGGCAUGCCUGUUCGAGCGUCAUCACAACCCUCAGGCCCCCGGGCCUGGCGUUGGGGAUCGGCGGAGCCCCCCGUGGGCACACGCCGUCCCCCAAAUGCAGUGGCGGUCCCGCCGCAGCUUCCAUCGCGUAGUAGCUAACACCUCGCGACUGGAGAGCGGCGCGGCCACGCCGUAAAACACCCAACUCUUCUGAAGUUGACCUCGAAUCAGGUAGGAAUACCCGCUGAACUUAAGCAUAUCAAUAAGCGGAGGA
rnacentral:misc_RNA from 1 species